UUUUGGCUGAGCAUAGGGGACUUUAUUGAUGGUAGAUGACAAGGUGGGGCUUCCAAGGCCCUUCCCUUUUCAGGGGGUCUGCAUGGAAAUUGCGGGGAGGGGAGAUUCUCAGUGUGGCAGGGAACUGGACACGUCAGGGACUCACCAGCAGCUGAGGGCCUCUCUCUUCCUCUUGUGUUUUUGCUGGGGCUAGUGGUCUGGGGGUCUUAUUCCUUAGAGGCCGUGUGGGCCAUGAGGUCCACCAUCCUGUUGCUGUAGCCAAGAAUAAGGAAGAAUAUUUUAACUGAA
rnacentral:lncRNA from 1 species